ensembl:lncRNA
GGAAACUCUGGACUCCACUUCCCAUCAGCCACUGCACUGCUCUAGUUGUCACAUGACCACCUGCACCUGAUUCAUGUUUUGGUUAAUGAGCACUCAUGUGUAUAUAUAGUCCUUGUCGGCACCAUUAGCUUGUCUUUCGUUGUCUUAGAUCCCCUGUGUUCCAUGUUUCUUGAUCUUGUUAGUUUAUGUUUAGUUUUGCCACAGUAUUCUGCCAAGUAGUCUUAGAUUCAUGUUGUUUAUGUCUCAGUGUUUGUUUCAUGCCACAGUGUGUUUCCAAGUUGUCAUAGUGUAUUCGUUUCUUAGUACGUUUCCUUCAAUAAAUGUCAUUAUCUGCACCUGCUUCUGGCUCAACCUCGAAUUGUGACGGAACGAAAGACCUACAACCAGAAGCAGCAGAUCGCCAGGAUGGAUAACUGGGGCGUCAGGAUGCCACCGAUGUUAGUGGAGUACUUUGCCACGUUACGCCAACAGUCGGAAGAUUACCAAGCUGCGCUACGAAAGCAGCAGGUCGCCAGGUACAAGUGGGAGUUUGUGGUCGGGGCUAAUACCAUCUCCCUCCCCUAUUAUGGCUCUCGUUCAGCCUGCCCACUCUGCUGAGUACGUCGCUCAGCCUCCCUGUUCAGCUAUGGACGUCGCUCAGCCUCCCUGCCCCAUGGCAGAUAGCGUUCCCCCCUUCUGCUUCGAGGAGACCCACGCUCCUCUCCCUGGCCUUACAGGGGACUUCGCUCCGCCUCCCUGCUCCGCGGAGGACGUCGCUCCUCUCCCGGGCCUCGCGGAGAACCUCGCUCCCCUCUCCUGUCCCGUGGAGCACGUCGCCCCGCUUUCAUGCUCUGCCGAGGAAAUAUCUCAGCCUCCCUGUGCCAUUGUAGAAGCCGCCCGGCCUCCUGGUUUUGCGGGGGACAUUUUCUCCAGGGAGUCAGGACCACCAGAUGGAGGAGGGGGAGGAGCCACUCAGUGUCCCACCCUGCUUCCUGUUUCACUAGAAACUGUCAACACAUCAAAUGAUGCUGGGUGUUUCAAG